rnacentral:rRNA from 1 species
GGAAUUUUGCGCAAUGGGCGAAAGCCUGACGCAGCAACGCCGCGUGGGGGAAGAAGGCUCUUGGGUCGUAAACCCCUUUUGCCGGGGAAGAUCGUGACGGUACCCGGCGAAUAAGCCACGGCUAACUACGUGACAGCAGCCGCGGUAAUACGUAGGUGGCAAGCGUUGUCCGGAUUUACUGGGCGUAAAGCGCGCGCAGGCGGUCUGUCGCGUCCGAGGUGAAAUCUCCCGGCUCAACUGGGAGGGGUCUUCGGAUACGGGCAGACUUGAGGAGAGCAGAGGUGAGCGGAAUUCUCGGUGUAGUGGUGAAAUGCGUAGAUAUCGAGAGGAACACCAGUGGCGAAGGCGGCUCACUGGGCUCCACCUGACGCUGAGGCGCGAAAGCGUGGGGAGCGAAC